CAGUCGCCGCGGGAAAACGAAGGGGGCUAGCGUUGUUCGGAAUUACUGGGCGUAAAGCGCACGUAGGCGGAUAUUUAAGUCAGGGGUGAAGUCCCAGAGCUCAACUCUGGAACUGCCUUUGAUACUGGGUAUCUUGAGUAUGGAAGAGGUGAGUGGAAUUCCGAGUGUAGAGGUGAAAUUCGUAGAUAUUCGGAGGAACACCAGUGGCGAAGGCGGCUCACUGGUCCAUUACUGACGCUGAGGUGCGAAAGCGUGGGGAGCAAACAGGAUUAGAUACCCCGGUAGUCCCUGUCUCUUAUAC
rnacentral:rRNA from 1 species